rnacentral:rRNA from 1 species
UCCGUAGGUGGAUAAUUAAGUCAGAGGUGAAAUCCUGCAGCUCAACUGUAGAAUUGCCUUUGAUACUGGUUAUCUUGAGUCAUUAUGAAGUGGUUAGAAUGUGUAGUGUAGCGGUGAAAUGCAUAGAUAUUACACAGAAUACCGAUUGCGAAGGCAUAUCACUAAUAAUGCACUGACACUGAGGGACGAAAGCGUGGGGAGCGAACAGGAUUAGAUACCCUGGUAGUCC